GCAUUAUAACUUUUUUACUUCUUUUCAAUUAAACAUCUGAAAAACUUCUUCCUCAAUUCAACGUCUGCAAUUCCUAGCACCCACAAGGAUCCAAUUGUAUGUUUGCAAUGUGUGAGAUUGCAACUUGUCACUAGAUGAGUAUAUUUCACAAGACGCCCAUACAAUACUUGAACAACUCUUGCUAGAAAGUCACUAAGCAAGCCUUGAGCUUCUCGGCUCGGUAAGAUAAAUUGCUUUACGGAAGAACUAGAGAGGAGUGAGCGAUUGGGCUAAAGAAAAUGCAUAUUAUUCACAAGAGUGUGUAUACAAGAG
rnacentral:lncRNA from 1 species